rnacentral:rRNA from 1 species
GACCGGCGCACGGGUGCGUAACGCGUAUGCAACUUGCCUCACGGAGGGGGAUAACCCGUCGAAAGACGGACUAAUACCGCGUACACUCCAUCUUGGGCAUCCAAGCUAGAGGAAAUGAAUUUCGCUGUGAGAUAGGCAUGCGUCCCAUUAGCUAGUUGGUGAGGUAACGGCUCACCAAGGCAACGAUGGGUAGGGGAACUGAGAGGUUGAACCCCCACACUGGUACUGAGACACGGACCAGACUCCUACGGGAGGCAGCAGUGAGGAAUAUUGGUCAAUGGGCGAGAGCCUGAACCAGCCAAGUCGCGUGAAGGAUGACUGUCUUAUGGAUUGUAAACUUCUUUUAUACGGGAAUAACAAGAGCCACGUGUGGCUCCCUGCAUGUACCGUAUGAAUAAGCAUCGGCUAACUCCGUGCCAGCAGCCGCGGUAAUACGGAGGAUGCGAGCGUUAUCCGGAUUUAUUGGGUUUAAAGGGUGCGUAGGCGGCCUGUUAAGUCAGCGGUGAAAUCUAGGAGCUUAACUCCUAAAUUGCCAUUGAUACUGGCGGGCUUGAGUGUAGAUGAGGUAGGCGGAAUGCGUGGUGUAGCGGUGGAAUGCAUAGAUAUCACGCAGAACUCCGAUUGCGAAGGCAGCUUACUAAGGUACAACUGACGCUGAAGCACGAAAGCGUGGGUAUCAAACAGGAUUAGAUACCCUGGUAGUCCACGCAGUAAACGAUGAUAACUGGGCGUAUGCGA